AAACUUUCAACAACGGAUCUCUUGGUUCUGGCAUCGAUGAAGAACGCAGCAAAAUGCGAUAAGUAAUGUGAAUUGCAGAAUUCAGUGAAUCAUCGAAUCUUUGAACGCACAUUGCGCCCGCCAGUAUUCUGGCGGGCAUGCCUGUCCGAGCGUCAUUA
rnacentral:rRNA from 1 species